rnacentral:rRNA from 1 species
UCCUACGGGGCGCAGCAGUGGGGAAUAUUGGGCAAUGGGCGCAAGCCUGACCCAGCAACGCCGCGUGAAGGAAGAAGGCUUUCGGGUUGUAAACUUCUUUUGUCAGGGACGAAGCAAGUGACGGUACCUGACGAAUAAGCCACGGCUAACUACGUGCCAGCAGCCGCGGUAAUACGUAGGUGGCAAGCGUUAUCCGGAUUUACUGGGUUUAAAGGGUGCGCAGGCGGCGAGUUAAGUCAGCGGUAAAAUUUCGGGGCUCAACCCCGACGAGCCGUUGAAACUGGCUUGCUAGAGUGGGCGAGAAG